rnacentral:rRNA from 1 species
UUAGAGUUGAUCCUGGCUCAGAACGAACGCUGGCGGCAGGCCUUAGCCAUGCAAGUCGAACGAGAAAGUCCUUCGGGAAUGAGCAAAGUGGCGAACGGGUGAGUAACACGUGGGAACCUACCUUGAAGUACGGAACAACCAUUGGAAACGAUGGCUAAUACCGUAUAAUCCCUCCGGGGGAAAGAUUUAUCGCUUUAAGAUGGGCCCGCGCCUGAUUAGCUUGUUGGUAAGGUAAUGGCUUACCAAGGCAACGAUCAGUAGCUGGUUUGAGAGGAUGAUCAGCCACACUGGGACUGAGACACGGCCCAGACUCCUACGGGAGGCAGCAGUUAGGAAUAUUGGACAAUGGGGGAAACCCUGAUCCAGCCAUGCCGCGUGAGUGAAGAAGGCCUUCGGGUUGUAAAGCUCUUUCGCUUGUGAAGAUGAUGACUGUAGCAAGUAAAGAAGCACCGGCUAACUUCGUGCCAGCAGCCGCGGUAAUACGAAGGGUGCAAGCGUUGUUCGGAAUUACUGGGCGUAAAGCGCAUGUAGGCGGUUUGUUAAGUUAGAGGUGAAAUCCCAGGGCUCAACCCUGGAAUUGCCUUUAAGACUGGCAAACUCGAGUCUAAGAGAGGAUAGCGGAAUACCUAGUGUAGAGGUGAAAUUCGUAGAUAUUAGGUAGAACACCAGUGGCGUAGGCGGCUAUCUGGCUUAUGACUGACGCUGAGAUGCGAAAGCGUGGGGAGCGAACAGGAUUAGAUACCCUGGUAGUCCACGCCGUAAACGAUGUGUGCUGGUUGUUGGUCCCGCUCUAGGGGCUUGUGACUGAGCUAACGCGUUAAGCACACCGNCUGGGGAGUACGGUCGCAAGAUUAAAACUCAAAGGAAUUGACGGGGACCCGCACAAGCGGUGGAGCAUGUCGUUUAAUUCGAUGCCACGCGCAAAACCUUACCAGCCCUUGACAUCCUGGUCGGGUGGAAUGGAGACAUUCUACUUCAUUUAGUUGGACCAGUGA